rnacentral:rRNA from 1 species
AUUGAACGCUGGCGGCAGGCUUAACACAUGCAAGUCGAACGAUGAAGAUAUAGCUUGCUAUAUCGGAUUAGUGGCGGACGGGUGAGUAACACUUAGGAAUCUACCUUUUAGCGGGGGAUAGCUCGGGGAAACUCGAAUUAAUACCGCAUAAUUUCUACGGAAUAAAGAGGGCUUUUAGCUCUUACUGGAAGAUGAGCCUAAGUAAGAUUAGCUAGUUGGUGGGGUAAAAGCCUACCAAGGCGACGAUCUUUAGCUGGUCUGAGAGGAUGAUCAGCCACACUGGGACUGAGACACGGCCCAGACUCCUACGGGAGGCAGCAGUGGGGAAUAUUGGACAAUGGGGGCAACCCUGAUCCAGCCAUGCCGCGUGUGUGAAGAAGGCCUUUUGGUUGUAGAGCACUUUAAGCAGUGAAGAAGACCUAUUGGUUAAUACCCAAUAGCGAUGACAUUAACUGCAGAAUAAGCACCGGCUAACUCUGUGCCAGCAGCCGCGGUAAUACAGAGGGUGCAAGCGUUAAUCGGAAUUACUGGGCGUAAAGCGAGCGUAGGUGGUUAAAUAAGUCAGAUGUGAAAGCCCUGGGCUCAACCUAGGAACGGCAUCUGAAACUAUUUAACUAGAGUAGGUGAGAGGGAAGUAGAAUUUCAGGUGUAGCGGUGAAAUGCGUAGAGAUCUGAAGGAAUACCGAUGGCGAGGGCAGCUUCCUGGCAUCAUACUGACACUGAGCUCGAAAGCGUGGGUAGCAAACAGG